rnacentral:pre_miRNA from 1 species
GAGAUUUUGAUGUCGUAGAUACUGCAUCAGGAACUGAUUGGAUAAUAUUCAGGCACCAUCAGUUCCUAAUGCAUUGCCUUCAGCAUCUAAACA